rnacentral:lncRNA from 1 species
CCCCAAAAUCAUGCCAGAUUCCUAAAAACUUCUCCACCUACCCCUUCCUCCUUAAAAUCCGACGACCACUAAUCGCUGUGACUCGGAUGUCGUCGUUUGCAUCGUUUUUAUCUCUCAAAUUCGUAAACCUUCCCCUAAACAAAUCUGGCAGAAUCGCUAGCAACAAAUGCCGCCGUUGUCUCGCCGCCUUUGCCGUCGUCUCUUUCCGCCAACGACUGGUUGAAGACCACCAUCUUUGUCGUCCUUCCUCCCUCUUUAUAUCUUUUUCUAAUUCUUGUUCCCUCUAUACCUGAUUCACCCAAAAAUCGAAUCAAAUUUUCGAAUAAUGAUUCAAAAAAAAUAUUUAAUAUCAAUUCGAAUAGUCGAAUAUUUUCUCAUGCCUCGACUCGGUACAAAUCUGCACCAGCUGCGCUGCUCUCAAAUUUGGCCUCGAGCUCUUCAUCCCUAAUACUUCCCUCUUCUUAAUUCGGCUGAUUUUUUAUUUUUGUGGGUAUCUUUUGUGCUGUCUUUUGUCUAGAAUAUAAUUAGAGGUUGUUGUUUUAACUGUGUACUCAUCUUUUUCUUGUCCGAAGAAACUUGAUUUGGAAGAGAAAGAGAAAAUUGAUUGGUAAAGAAAAGUGUUCCCUUUACGGAUCAUGGAGAAAUUAGAUUUUGAGAAAGAAAAAACUACCUAUUGAUAAGAAAAGAGCACACGUUUUUUUAAACAGAUCGAAAA